GGCCAGGCGCCAUGCAUGGGCAGCCGCACGAACUCCGCCAGGACCGGAAGGUAGCAACGGUAGUGACGUUCUCCCAGUGCCGUGGAAUGCCUGGCCACC
rnacentral:SRP_RNA from 1 species